rnacentral:lncRNA from 1 species
AGUUUUGCUGAGGGAGGGGCCUCCAGCCCAUUUUCACCUGGGCAUGGAGAGGUGGGGUUUUCCUUUUGGUUCAAUUCUAAGAAGAGAGCCAUGAGUUGCUCUUAAGCUCCCUGUCUCUAGACCCUAUUCUCCUACCUUACUCUCAUGAUUCUAUGAAGACUGCUGCAGUUCUAGGUACUCCAGACAGAUGACAAUGUCCAGAGACAGAAAGAAAGUCUCUCUCAUGUAUCUCCUUUUAGUCUGCAAGGAUUCCUAGCAGACUUCUUUUCAUUUCUUCUUGUGUACAAUUGUGUCUCAUAUGCAUAAUCAUGACCAAUGCGAAUGGGAUUACCAUUGACUUAAGCCAAUUAUGACGUCCCCCUGGGCCUAGGGUAGGACUCCACUCCCCUGCAACACACGAUCCUCUGAACAAAACUGAGGUUCUUCUAGCAAGGAGAAGACAGGGAGAAUGACUAUCAGUUAGUCAAUCAGAAGUAUCCACCAUACUCCGCAAAUUGCUUAUCUUUUUUGGCUUUAGUAUUUUCAUGUGUAAAAUGGCAAUAGUAAUAAUAAUAAUAAUGACAACUACCUCAAAGGGUAGUGAGGAUUAAAUAAUGCAUGUAGGGCUGAGCACAGUGGCUCAUGCUUGUAACCCCAGCACUUUGGGAGGCCUAGAUAGGAGAAUUGCUUGAGGCCAGGAGUUCAAGAUCAGCCUGGGCAACAAGGCAAGACCUUAUUUCUAUAUAUAUAUAUAUAUACUGCUUAGAAUAGUGCCUGAUAUAUGGUAAGGGCUCAAGAGAUGUUUAGCAUUGAUUGAUACUGUUCCUGUUUUCACUGUUGUUAUCAUUAUAUUACCCUAUAUCUAGAUAGGCAAAGUCUCAACCUGCCACUGAAGAAAAGGAAAAUGAGGGCUUAAACUAGCCUUAGAUAUUAGUACAGAUAGUCGUUGGUCAACAGACUUUUUUCUUGAGCAAGUCCUCUAUACUAGGUAUUGUUCCCAAUGUAGAAAGAAUUCAAAACACAGCUCUGAGGAGUUUAUGUUCUGGUUGUAGAGGCAACUAGAGAGUUGGAAAAAAAAGUAGAGAUCUCUUGCCUUCUAGCCUCUUCGUAUACUCUUUCCUUUGUCUGAAACACAAUUUAUCACCACCUCUCUCCUACCUUAGCCUGGUGAACUCGUAUUCACCUUAUUACGUCAGCUUAAUUGCUUCCCUGACCCCAGAUUUUAGGUAAACUGUCUAUGCGAAUGCUUUCAUAAUUGCCAUCAUAAUAGCAAUAUUAUAUUGAAGUGUGUCAGUCUUUUGUCAGUCUUCCCACUUUAUGUCUAACUUCCAUGAGGGCAGAGACUAUGUCUGUCUGUUUCAUGACUGUAUCUCCUAUUCACAGUGCCUGAUACAAAUGUAGGCAGGCAGGGUGAACCUGUUGAAUAAGGGAGUGAAUAAAGGAAUGUGUUUCACUUAGAACUCUUUCUGUUGUAAGUGACA